UUGAACGCUGGCGGCAUGCUUUACACAUGCAAGUCGAACGGCAGCGCGGGCUUCGGCCUGGCGGCGAGUGGCGAACGGGUGAGUAAUACAUCGGAACGUGCCCAGUAGUGGGGGAUAGCUCGGCGAAAGCCGGAUUAAUACCGCAUACGACCUGAGGGUGAAAGCGGGGGAUCUUCGGACCUCGCGCUAUUGGAGCGGCCGAUGGCAGAUUAGCUAGUUGGUGGGGUAAAGGCCUACCAAGGCGACGAUCUGUAGCUGGUCUGAGAGGACGACCAGCCACACUGGGACUGAGACACGGCCCAGACUCCUACGGGAGGCAGCAGUGGGGAAUUUUGGACAAUGGGCGAAAGCCUGAUCCAGCAAUGCCGCGUGUGUGAUGAAGGCCUUCGGGUUGUAAAGCACUUUUGGCGAGAACGAAAAGGACUGUGCCAAUACCACGGUUCGAUGACGGUACCCGCAGAAUAAGCACCGGCUAACUACGUG
rnacentral:rRNA from 1 species